AUACGGAGGGGGCUAGCGUUGUUCGGAAUUACUGGGCGUAAAGCGUACGUAGGCGGACUGAUCAGUUGGGGGUGAAAUCCCAGGGCUUAACCCUGGAACUGCCUUCAAUACUGUCAGUCUUGAGUUUGGGAGAGGUGAGUGGAAUCCCUAGUGUAGAGGUGAAAUUCAUAGAUAUUAGGAGGAACACCAGUGGCGAAGGCGGCUCACUGGCCCAUUACUGACGCUGAGGUACGAAAGCGUGGGGAGCAAACAGGAUUAGAUACCCUAGUAGUCC
rnacentral:rRNA from 1 species